UGGGGACAGGCCGUGGCACUGCCCGGCGCUUUCGCUGCCGGUCUCCUCUGUGCCAGACGGGGAUCUUCGC
rnacentral:tRNA from 1 species